rnacentral:rRNA from 1 species
UACGUAGGGCGCAAGCGUUAUCCGGAAUUAUUGGGCGUAAAGAGCUCGUAGGCGGUCUGUCGCGUCCGUUGUGAAAACUCGAGGCUCAACCUCGGGCUUGCAGUGGAUACGGGCAGACUAGAGUGCGGUAGGGGAGACUGGAAUUCCUGGUGUAGCGGUGGAAUGCGCAGAUAUCAGGAGGAACACCGAUGGCGAAGGCGACUACCUGGCCUGUUCUUGACGCUGAGGCGCGAAAGCUAGGGGAGCAAACGGG